GACGAACGCUGGCGGCGUGCUUAACACAUGCAAGUCGAACGGAAAGGCCCUGCUUUUGUGGGGUGCUCGGGUGGCGAGCGGGUGAGUAGCACGUCAGUAACCUACCCUUGCCUCUGGGAUAACUUAACGAAACUGGGGCUAAUCCAGGAUAGGAUAUCCUGCUUCUUUGUCGGGAUUGGUCAGGUUCGGCGGUUGGUGAUGGACUCGCGGCUCAUCAGCCCGUUGGUCGGGUUGGGGCUUACCAAGGCUUUGACGGGUAGCCGGCCUGAGAGGGUGGGCGGCCACAUUGGGACUGAGAUACGGCGCAGACGCCUACGGGAGGCAGCAGUGGGGAAUAUUGCACAAUGGGCGGAAGCCGGGUGCAGCAGCGCCGCGUGCGGGAUGACGGCCUUCGGGUUGUGAACCGCGUUCGCCUGUGACGAAGGGUGAGUGACGGUAAUGGGUAAAGAAGCACCGGCUAACUACGUG
rnacentral:rRNA from 1 species